AGAGUUUGAUCCUGGCUCAGAGCGAACGCUGGCGGAGUGGAAAGAAAGUAAAUUGAGCGCUGAUUUCGGGGUAGCAAUAUUCUUAACUUGGAGCGGCGCAAGGGUGCGUAACACGUGGGUAAUCUGCCAUGAAGUCUGGAAUAACUUGCUGAAAGGCGAGCUAAUGCCGGAUGUGGCCCCUGGGAGGCAUCUCCUGGUGGCUGAAGUUGGGGACCGUAAGGCCUGACGCUUCAUGAUGAACCCGCGGCCUAUCAGCUAGUUGGUGAGGUAGUGGCUCACCAAGGCGACGACGGGUAGCCGGCCUGAGAGGGCGCACGGACACACUGGAACUGAAACACGGUCCAGACUCCUACGGGAGGCAGCAGCGGGGAAUUUUGCGCAAUGGGGGAAACCCUGACGCAGCAACGCCGCGUGGAGGAUGAAGCCCCUUGGGGCGCAAACUCCUUUCUACCAAGACAAUAAUGACGGUACUGGUGGAAGAAGCACCGGCUAACUCUGUGCCAGCAGCCGCGGUAAUACAGAGGGUGCGAGCGUUGUUCGGAAUUAUUGGGCGUAAAGGGCGCGUAGGCGGUGCCACAAGUCACUUGUGAAAUC
rnacentral:rRNA from 1 species